UCUACACAUGCAGAUGGAGACCAUCACACACCUUCUACAUCUAUUCUCUAAAAUGGUAAAUUCUAUUUUAUUUAUGGCGGCUUAUCCCCUGUAUUUUUGUUUCUAUGACAAUAAGGGUAUUUCUGAUUGGUUGUCGAUACCUUGUUUCCCUUCGGUUAAUUUCUGUAUUUUGGUGUUGAAAAUUUUCGAAGUAGUUAUCCCUUGCUUUACAAGAAUCGAUUAGGGCUUCAAUUUGGUUUUGAAAUUGAAAAGGUUAAACCGUUAUCCUAGAUUUUGUGUAAAACGGUGUCUUGAGAUUGCCUUCUUGCUUUCUGGUUGCACCCGACAGAUGAAGAACUUGUGGUACGAUACUUUGAGGUGCAUCUUCCCUGAGGUCGAUGCUAAUAAUUCUGAUCCUUGGGAGUUACCAGAUUCAUGCCGCCUAUAUUAAAUAACCUGUCCAAGAACUUUUAAUGUCUUUAAAUUUCAACUUCUAUCAGGUUCUAAUCGAAUUUUUUUCCCUAUUUUUUGCUGUCUAAUAUAUUUCAUAGCUUUGUUGUCCUAGGUAUACUAUCUAUUUUAAUCUUAUGCUCUAUAUUUAGAGGAAAGUGGAAAGUAGGAGAGCUUGAGAAUUAAGAAGAGAAUUUUGUAUACUUAUUGUGGAAUUUUAUAAUGAGAUUGGCGCGUGAAGUUUAAUCUCCAGUCAUGGAGAGGCGGGGUGUAAAUUCCACUCUCUCACUCACUCACUCUCUCUCUCUCUCUCUCUCUCUCUCUCUCUAGGGCUUCUUAUUAAAGAUAUACCAGUAAACUGGAAGUGAAUGACGAUGAUUGUGGUGGGUGACGAUGUUGAUUAGCUAAUGAUGUUGAGCAAGGUGACGGGAAAAUCGAUAUUUGGGGAUGAUGUCUCCAAGCUCUCUAUUCCACCGCUUCCCUCUUUUCCCUCUUCACUCUCCACUGACUCUCUUUUUGUUUCGAUGAAUAACCAUCAGAAAAAUCACGACGUCACGACAUUUAAUUUCCACGAUGACUCAAGUUUCUACAAUAAGCUCCAUUUUCGGUGUAGAGCUGUUCCAUUUAUAAGAACUUAACCAAACAAAUUGCAGAAAUAACCCUUCAAUUAUGGAAGGAGUUAUGCAAAUCCCAAGGAAGAAACUUUCACCAUUUACAAUAAUUCUUGAGUGCAAGUAUUACACUGUCCUUAUUCUGUAGAAGAAAAUAGUUGUGCUAGAAUAUCUUUUAUUAAAUUUUAUUUGUUGAAUUUACACUUUAAUUGUAUUGAAGAUAUUUUACGUCUAAA